rnacentral:lncRNA from 1 species
AUUCAACUGAUUUAAAAUAGAUUUGGUCAAAGCAGUUUGAUUUUUUUAUUAUAUUAUAAAAAAUAUAUAAAGUAAUCUACCAUCUAUCACUCUUUCAAGUCAUUCAUUCUCCCUUCUUCAAUUCAACCGAUUAGCUUUCAUGUACGAAGAAAACUCUCCAAAUUCUUGUUUCUUUUUGUGGGAAAAAAAAUUGCUUAGUCCUCAUCUCAAUCGUAGGGAAGAAAAUCGUAGAAUUUGUGACGAUUCUCUUUGGAUAUGUUCUUGCAAAUUUUUAUUUUUUUUUUGUUUGUAUUUUUUUCUUAGUUUUUUAAGAUUUAUUUAAGGUAUGUAGUUUUUAUUUCUGUGUCUAGAUGAAAAUCUAUCUUGGAUCAUCUUCCUCUACCUAGAUGUGAGGUAUAUUCUUGUCUUUGUAUAUACGUGAAAAUCUAAUUGAAGUUUUAUUUUAUUUUUUCUUGGAUAUGGCUAUGAAAUUUAUGUUUUUGUUUGAUGUUUGCUUUCUUGUGGAUUUAUUUCUUAUUUUCUUCGGCCUUAUUUAAUGUAAAAAGUUAGCUAGGUCUUUCUUUUUUUACCCUUAUAUACUUGAGAAGUUUAAAAUUUUCAAUCAUUUUUUUAUAUUUAAGAAGGCUUACAAGAGUUUGCUUUGGGUAUGUUUGGAAUUUGUUUCCUCCAAUUAGUAGUAUUUACAGUUCUAUUGUUGUGUUGCAUUUGUAAAGAAGAUUGUGAUUUAUUCAGUAGCUAAAAGACGCAUGUAUCACCCAUUUUUAGUUCCUUUAAGAAGAGAAAAUGUGCCCAACCUAUAAAGAGAAAAAUAAUAAAA